UUAUGACGAUAGAUAUGAUACAGUUGCGACGACAAUUUUUUCUAUGAUGGCUAAUCGUGACGUGUCGGUGCAUAAUGUGUCUGCCAGGUGGAGUGUGCACCGCUAUAGUGUACCAGACAGGUUCAACCGUACUGUGAUCGUUCGAUUCGUCCUUCAGUCAAAAAUAGGUGUUGAUGUUCGAUAGGUUGUAAGUGUUGCAUAUUUACCCCCCGAAUCUAAACAGAGUUGUCGUUGUGUUUUUUUGAUGGGGAAAGUUCAGUUAUCAGUGUUCAGUGUUCUUGUCAUGAAUAGCAAUAUAAUCUACAAUGUCUGUAUGAUGUCAUUUUCAUCAGAUGAUAACAUCUGAAUGGGCAACCUAUGCGUAUUGGAAAUAUCAUGGACAUAACAUACUGCACUAUGAGAGCAGACUGAGUAUUGUUUAGGCUCUUAUUGUUCUGAUCUGAUACAAAAGGGAAUUUAGGCUACGUAUUUGUUAUAUGUUUACAAUGUUACUUUUAGCAUUACAGUUACAUUACAGCCUAUGCCAAUUUUUGUUAAAGAUAUGGCAGGGAUCAAGACUGUGGAAUGCCUUUGAUAAAAUACCUGCAUAAAAUCUAAAUGUAUCAUUACGCAGUAUAUAGGCUAAAAUAUUUUGUAUAGUCUACAAUUGAUAGUGGUACUAAUCCUUGGUAAUCGAUGUAUCUUAUUAAAAUUCGAUCCUAAGGCUGUCAUCAGCACUAUUUGGAAUUUAUUUUCCUACAAAACAUGACUUCAAGACUGUUUCCAUCAUGGAGGAUAGUGUGAGCACAUUGAUGAAGACAUGGACACAAUGCAUAGUGCGAGUGGAUAGAAGAAUGAAGAGCGGCAGUCAUGCCCCCUGGAUGCGACUGAGCCCGCGUUGUGGUGCAGUCGCCAUGACGACUACACAUUCAUGGGAUGGAAAUUUUCAUCGCCCCAUCUCAACCUGCCAACAACAAUCAUCCAACCGACAAUGCGCCAGUAAAACACCUCUACUCUGGAGGCCUACAGGAGGAUUGCCCUGACACAUCACUAUGGGAUUCAAGCUCCACCAGCACAACCCUCCACCAACACAAACCUUCCACACAUACACACGGUACUGUACUGGCCCGGAGAGAGACGCCAGAGGCAAGGUGCCACGGACACAGUGCCUUCAUCUGACACCUCACCUCCCGUCCAAUGGACUGCCUGGGGGAAAGGAGCAUGUGCUGCACUCUGUCUCUUCCCUAGUGUCUUAGUCCUGGAAUAAGAUCCCAGAGAGACCUGUACAAGAGGACACACUGUGUAUGUUGCUGUUAUGUAUCUCCCUAGUCUUCAGCAGGCCUGUGUUUGGUCUAUAGCUACCCCCAGUGGAGUAGAGGACUGAGGUCAGGUUUUGUAGCAUCACCAUGUACUCAUGGUGUGUUGUCGUUGUCCCAGGACAAAAUGUAAGCACAUAAAUGUCUCUGCAAAUCAGACAGCGUUUGCAUGUUGUCGCUUAAGUGAAAAUAAUUUCAGGGUCACAAAUUGGGAUUGUUCACCUCUUUGAUCAAAUGUAUUUAACACACUUACACGUGCGCAAGCACACACACACAUAUUAUUGCAUUCCUCCACUGGCACCUUAAUCGGGGAGGACGACCUUGUGGUAAAGGCUGGAGCGGAACUUGUGGAAUGGUAUCAAAUACAUCCAAACACAUGGUUUCCAUGUUUUUGAUGCCAUUCCACCCGCUCUGUACCAGCCAUUAUUAUGAGCCGUCCCCCCCUCAGCAGCCUCCACCGCAUCCCUCCUCUUUUUUUCCCCCUUCCCUCCUCCUCUCUCUUCCCAUUCUACACUCUCAUCCCCUCUUUCCAACAUUUUAUCUUCUUCACCAACAGCGACAAUAACGGCAUGGGGAAAGUCACCAGAUGAACUACUCUUCAGAAAGCAGUGGCCAAAUAACGUCACAGCUGCAGGUUGUUCCAGCUGGCUUGAUCAGAAGUGCUUGAGUGGCGUUGUUCUCUCUGACUUCUUUCUCGAAACAUGGUCCACUCUUCGCUUCUCCCCAAUUCCUUUUUUUGGGGUAUAGUUGGGUAAAUUAAAACUCGUCUGUGAGUUAUCCUAGCAAUUAAUCACUUGUCAGUAAAUCUCACCAUUACUGCCCAUGUGGAAAACCUCGAGCUGCAGUUCAGUGCAUCUCCCAAGAUUCCUAAAUGAUUCAUGUGAUUCCAUUUCUAUUUAGUCAACCCCGCACAUACAUUACAUACAUUAUAUCUAUGUAACGUGUGUGUGUGUGUGUGCGCAUGUGUGUGUGUGUGCGCAUGUGUGUGCACACGCAUGUGUGACUGUGAAAGUGUGUGACAGUGUGUGUGUCGGUGGGAAUGUGUGCAGCGUGUACAGUACUGAAUACAUGUACGCUUGAGCCGAUACCCAGCUGUAAAAUGUAGAUAGUCUCAGCUGGUACUGUACGCCUGGCUGACUGCACUCUAGAACCCUUGGCAUCGGAGUGCUGAGAGACACUUCUCAGGAGAGGCACUCUCUCUAUUGCCAGGAAUGAGGAACAACCCCCUUCAUACAGCCACACACACACACACAAACCACACACACACACACGUCAUCCAUAUCAUAGAUUAGUUACACAAAACGAAGCCAAUACCCCCUUGUUCUCUGCUCGGUAGGGGCUCUGGCUGCAGGUAGACGUAUGUGCGUGUGCAUGUUUGUGUCAUGCUCAUGCAGAGGAGGAGAGAAGACCCCGAGCAUACUCCUUCCACUCCCAGGCAGACAUCUGCCACAUGAAAAGAGUGAUGCUGUGAUGCAGAAAGGAGUGAUGCUGAUGGGGCGGCAGGUAGCCUAGCGGAGUGUUGGGCCAAUAACCUGAAUGGUUGCUGGUUCAAAUCCCCCAGGCGGCUAGGUGGAAAGUCUGUUGACGUGCCCUUGAGCAAGGCACUUAACCCUAAUUGCUCCUCCUGUAUGUCACUCUGGAUAAGAGCUUCUACUAAAAGCUAUAAUGAUAUAGGGGAUGCAGUACAUUCUGGGGAGAGUACUUUUAUGGUAGUACUAACUUCACCAACUGUAUUGAUGAUUGUUUAUAUCUGAAAAAAACAGUUUUUCAUGUUGUCUUAGCCCUAAAACUGUUAUAAAAAUGUACAUUAUAUGGCAUCAGCCAGUAAUAGCAUGCUUCAGACAUAGUGCUGUUAUUACUCUGGGUGCAAACUGCAAAGCAUCCAUCUACUCUUCAGAGGAGAUAUUUAUAAUGUUCACUCUUCUGAAUCAUGACUGCGUUCAACGCUUUGAGUCAAGACAAAGGGAAGCCCACCAAUCAUAUCAUGAGGAGUGUACACAUACACACUUUUCUCUCAAUGGAUCUAAAUACCAAGCCAGUCAUUAAAGAACGGGUUUUAGUAUAAAAUGUUUAUUGUAUACUGUGCUUAGCUCUUUGGCUGUAUGUAUAACGACGAUCCACUCUCCGAUCAGUUGAAGGAGCUCAAACAGGACCAAGGAUACCAGAGGUUACGGAAAAUGUAUAAAUGAAUUCAUCAAUCAUGUAAAGGGGAAAGAAGACUCAUAUUACCUUCAUUGCUAAGUAUGAAUACCACCGUUGCAAAACUGUUUCAAUUUCUAACAUUGUCAUUGCCCCCCCCAAAAUGUCCCAGCCAACAAAGUCAGACAAAUCCUUAUGGUAUUACAAGGCCUGUUUCAAUAAACUGCGUUAGUGUUGUUACUGGACACUGUAAAAAUGCAUUGGUCUCUAGAAAGAAAUGCAAAGUGCUGUGUCACUGUGCAUUGACUUUACCUCUAAUAUCCUAGAUGUGAGGAGAGAGGGAGACUCUCCAGGAGUGACGACAGGGCUUCCUCUCCUCUGCCUUGUGAAGCCCUAGGAGCAGUCACCAUAGCAACAAUAUUAGACUAAGCACAAGACUGUUCAAUGGUAGAGGAAUUUCAGGUUGGAAUGUAACAAUAUAUUCCUAUUAAACACAAUGGUUAGAUCUAACCAUGUUAUUAAAACCGUCAUAAUUUAACGGCUCUCCAUCUCGACAGUCCUUAAAACACAUUGAUGGAAGAGACCAGAAACACAAAUAGACUCGCUAUCAACAAAGGAACUCGCUAUCAACAGUUACCAGGAAUUCACUAUCAACAGUCACCAGGAAUUCACUAUCAACAGUCACCAGGAAUUCACUAUCAACCGUCACCAUUAAAACAACCAGAUUCAGUUGCAUUC
ensembl:lncRNA